rnacentral:snRNA from 1 species
UAGCGAACAAGUACCGCGAGGUAAAGA